rnacentral:rRNA from 1 species
UACGUAGGGUGCGAGCGUUAAUCGGAAUUACUGGGCGUAAAGCGUGCGCAGGCGGUUUUGUAAGCCAGAUGUGAAAGCCCCGGGCUUAACCUGGGAAUGGCAUUUGGGACUGCAAGGCUGGAGUGUGGCAGAGGAGACUGGAAUUCCUGGUGUAGCAGUGAAAUGCGUAGAUAUCAGGAGGAACACCGAUGGCGAAGGCGGGUCUCUGGACAGUUCCUGACGCUGAGGCACGAAGGCCAGGGGAGCAAACGGG